rnacentral:misc_RNA from 1 species
GUGAAUCAUCAAAUCUUUGAACGCAAAUUGCACUCUCCUCGGAGAGUAUGCCUGUUUGAGAGGCAGCCUAUAAAAAAUCGACAUCGUUGCGGUUUCGCGGUGGCGGUCGUCGGAAAUUGGGUCAUCUUAAAUCUUUUGGUUUGAAGCUACUUAGAAUUUUCGUUGUGGUUCCAUGAACGGUUCUAAGAUUUGUUUCUUUACACGUGUACGGUAUCGAUUUUUACUAGACGUUACCAUCAUAUCGGAACACGUCCAUAAGUGUUCAUC